CUAAGAAUUAGCAGUCAUGUUCUCACAAAGGUUUUCUGUUGUUAAAGAAUGAUCAGAAGUGUGGAAGAUGACCCAUCCAAAUGAAGAUGCCUGGUGUGGAUUGAAUGGAGAAAAUAGUGAAAAGAAAGGCAGCUGAGGAAUGAAAACAGAAUUUCACUAGUGGGAAACAAAAGAGAAAAGAAAUAUCACUUCAUGAUGUCACAAGGACCAGUUACUCAGUGCUGUGUGCAGCAGGCAUCUGCUCAAAACUUGCAGAACCAGUUUUCCCUCAGCCUGAUGCUUUACCAUGUA